rnacentral:SRP_RNA from 1 species
GUCGGGCAUGGUGGUGCGUGCCUGUAAUCCCAGCUACUCAGGAGGCUGAGGCAGGAGAAUCGCUUGAACCCGGGAAGUGGAGGUUGCAGUGAGCCGAGAUUGCACCACUGCACUCCAGCCUGGGCAACAGAGCGAGACUCUGUCUCAA